rnacentral:rRNA from 1 species
ACGGGUGAGUAAUGCCUAGGAAUCUGCCUGGUAGUGGGGGACAACGUUUCGAAAGGAACGCUAAUACCGCAUACGUCCUACGGGAGAAAGCAGGGGACCUUCGGGCCUUGCGCUAUCAGAUGAGCCUAGGUCGGAUUAGCUAGUUGGUGAGGUAAUGGCUCACCAAGGCGACGAUCCGUAACUGGUCUGAGAGGAUGAUCAGUCACACUGGAACUGAGACACGGUCCAGACUCCUACGGGAGGCAGCAGUGGGGAAUAUUGGACAAUGGGCGAAAGCCUGAUCCAGCCAUGCCGCGUGUGUGAAGAAGGUCUUCGGAUUGUAAAGCACUUUAAGUUGGGAGGAAGGGUUGUAGAUUAAUACUCUGCAAUUUUGACGUUACCGACAGAAUAAGCACCGGCUAACUCUGUGCCAGCAGCCGCGGUAAUACAGAGGGUGCAAGCGUUAAUCGGAAUUACUGGGCGUAAAGCGCGCGUAGGUGGUUUGUUAAGUUGGAUGUGAAAGCCCCGGGCUCAACCUGGGAACUGCAUUCAAAACUGACAGCUAGAGUAUGGUAGAGGGUGGUGGGAAUUUCCUGUGUAGCGGUG